AACGAACGCUGGCGGCAUGCCUAACACAUGCAAGUCGAACGAGACCUUCGGGUCUAGUGGCGCACGGGUGCGUAACGCGUGGGAACCUGCCCUUAGGUUCGGAAUAACUCCCCGAAGGGGGUGCUAAUGCCGGAUAAUGUCUUCGGACCAAAGAUUUAUCGCCUUUGGAUGGGCCCGCGUUGGAUUCGCUAGUUGGUAGGGUAAAAGCCUACCAAGGCGACGAUACAUAGCUGGUCUGAGAGGAUGAUCAGCCACACUGGGACUGAGACACGGCCCAGAAUCCUACGGGAGGCAGCAGUGGGGAAUAUUGGACAAUGGGCGAAAGCCUGAUCCAGCAAUGCUGGGUGAGUGAUGAAGGCCUUAGGGUAGUAAAGCUCUUUUACCCGGGAUGAUAAUGACAGUACCGGGAGAAUAAGCUCCGGCUAACUCCGUG
rnacentral:rRNA from 1 species